GUUUCAGUGGUUGGAAUAGAAAUGAUUCCAACACACAUUAUGAGUUUAAUUUCUCACUAUCAAAUUUGAUAAAUUAGGGGCAGGAUAUUUGGGGCAAGAUGACUUUUGGAAUUUAGGACACUGUUUUAUGUAGAUUCAGAACUCUUAGUGUUGACAAUUAUCUUGGCCAAUCAACAGGGAGGGAACUUGAGCAAUGAGUCCACAUAGGGGACCUGACUUGUGAACAUGGUCUCUGAGCCUCAUAUUGCUUUACUUGUGAAAUAUUUUAAAGGUGCAGGAAAGAACAGAAAGCAACAUUAAGAAACAGAUGUAUACUCACCAGCGAGUUCUCUUAAACUGGAACAUCUUGCCAUAUUAGCUACAAAGGAGUUUAAAGAAAUGAAACGUUGUAGAUAGAGUUGAAGCCUGCAUUGUAACAACAGUAACAACAGAUAACCAUGAAUCCCUUGAGAUGUGCUGGACACUUCACAAAUAUUGAUCAGCUCAUUCAAUCCCUGCAACUGUUUGAGGUUUCUUGUGAGGAUUAAACGGAAGAAUGUUUAUGAAGUAAGUGGAAAAUAAAGUUAAAAGAAGAGAAAAGAUUGAUUUGCAACCUCUGGGCUUUACUUCCGUCAUCUGAAGUUGGGAUCUACUCAGGUUUCCCAUCCUGAAGUCCACAUUUCACUGGGAAAUAGGGUCGUGUUCUCAGCAGCGCUUGACACUAACAGAACAAAUACCCAGUGUGGAUUUAUACGUGAGCGUCAAUUUUAUGUGUGGAUUUUGGUGAAAAAAAAAUUAAGUGAUUUAAAAAU
rnacentral:lncRNA from 10 species